AGUGAACGCUGGCGGUAGGCCUAACACAUGCAAGUCGAACGGCAGCACAGUAAGAGCUUGCUCUUACGGGUGGCGAGUGGCGGACGGGUGAGGAAUACAUCGGAAUCUACUUUUUCGUGGGGGAUAACGUAGGGAAACUUACGCUAAUACCGCAUACGACCUACGGGUGAAAGCAGGGGAUCUUCGGACCUUGCGCGAUUGAAGAGCCGAUGUCGGAUUAGCUAGUUGGCGGGGUAAAGGCCCACCAAGGCGACGAUCCGUAGCUGGUCUGAGAGGAUGAUCAGCCACACUGGAACUGAGACACGGUCCAGACUCCUACGGGAGGCAGCAGUGGGGAAUAUUGGACAAUGGGCGCAAGCCUGAUCCAGCCAUACCGCGUGGGUGAAGAAGGCCUUCGGGUUGUAAAGCCCUUUUGUUGGGAAAGAAAAGCAGCAGGUUAAUACCCCGCUGUUCUGACGGUACCCAAAGAAUAAGCACCGGCUAACUUCGUG
rnacentral:rRNA from 1 species